UACGAAGGGGGCUAGCGUUGCUCGGAAUCACUGGGCGUAAAGCGCACGUAGGCGGACUCUUAAGUCGGUGGUGAAAUCCUGGAGCUCAACUCCAGAACUGCCUUCGAUACUGAGAGUCUCGAGUCCGAGAGAGGUGAGUGGAACUGCGAGUGUAGAGGUGAAAUUCGUAGAUAUUCGCAGGAACACCAGUGGCGAAGGCGGCUCACUGGCUCGGUACUGACGCUGAGGUGCGAAAGCGUGGGGAGCAAACAGG
rnacentral:rRNA from 1 species